rnacentral:lncRNA from 1 species
UUAAAUAAAUAACUUAAUGAUAAUGGAGGGACUAAAGGUGUUAAAACUAAAACUAAUAAUAAUAAAAACAAGGUUUAAACACCAAACACACUAAAAGAAGUGUGUCUGGUCGAUCUAAACAUCAGGAGCGAACAGGAGCUUCCCCACCAAACCCUAACUUGUGCAAAUUGAUCAAAUUGGGGCUUCAAAUCAGUUCCAAAUCGAUUUCCAAGCACGGAAUUGUCAUCUCCAUUGAAAAGGGAGUCAUAAGGAUGAAUUUUUGAUCUCGUCAAGCUAAGUGGGAGCUGGAAAGGAUUGGAUCAAACGGGUCAAGUGCGCAAGGAAAGCUCGAACGGACGCAAACUAUAAGUACAUUUUGGAUGCCGGAAGACGAUCAAGCUCAACGAAGAACCGAAC